CUGAAGGGAGGGAGGGAAGGAACAGGAGCCCAAGAGCUCAGGACAUUCUACCCUCCCCAGGCAGGGAGCCGAAGCCAGGAGGAGGAAUUAUGCACUUUCUGUUGGAUGCUGUCACCGCGCUGAAU
rnacentral:lncRNA from 1 species